rnacentral:lncRNA from 1 species
UCAGUUUCAAAUCGACAAUUCAAAUAGAAUUAGACAAGUACAAUGACUGAAUAGUGGGUACAAGGUUCAGUUAAACUUUCUUCAUAUCAUACAUAUACAUGGGCUACACAUCAAUUAAAUAGUAUUCUCGUGUUGGGCAAUGGCCGGAGUAGAGCUACGACAUGUAGACAGGGAGUUCGGAUUCAGGGAGUGGCCGGAGUAGUGCGGCAGCGCCGCCCGGCUAGAGCAGCAGCGGUAGACCGACAGUCCACAGUCAUGAGCAGCGGUGAUUGAGGAAGAGCGAAGUAGCGAAGGCCGUCACUGGGACUGGAAGGGGCGUGGGGAAGUCGCGAGCGGCCCGGCGGCGACGCGACACACAGGUGGGGAGGCGGUGACGCGACACGCAGGAGGGGAGGCGGCUGUGGGAGCUCCU